GACGUAGGAGGCGAGCGUUAUCCGGAUUCACUGGGCGUAAAGCGCAUGUAGGCGGCUCGAUAAGUCGUGUGUUAAAGCCCCUGGCUCAACUGGGGGAGGUCAUGCGAGACUAUCGGACUUGAGGGCAGUAGAGGCACGUGGAACUCCCGGUGUAGCGGUGGAAUGCGCAGAUAUCAGGAAGAACACCAACGGCGAAGGCAGCUCGCUAGGACGGUACUGACGCUGAGGCGACGAAGAACUAGGGGAGCGAACAGG
rnacentral:rRNA from 1 species